rnacentral:rRNA from 1 species
UACGGGGGGGCAAGCGUUGUUCGGAAUUACUGGGCGUAAAGGGCUCGUAGGUGGCCAACUAAGUCGGACGUGAAAUCCCUCGGCUUAACCGGGAACUGCGUCCGAUACUGGUUGGCUUGAGUUUGGGAGAGGGAUGCGGAAUUCCAGGUGUAGCGGUGAAAUGCGUAGAUAUCUGGAGGAACACCGGUGGCGAAGGCAGGUCUCUGGGCCAUAACUGACGCUGAGAAGCGAAAGCAUGGGAGCGAACGAGGAUUGAGAA